rnacentral:rRNA from 1 species
UACCAGCACCCCGAGUGGUCGGGACGUUUAUUGGGCCUAAAGCCUCCGUAGCCGGUUCUACAAGUCUUCCGUUAAAUCCACCUGCUUAACAGAUGGGCUGCGGAAGAUACUAUGGAGCUAGGAGGCGGGAGAGGCAAGCGGUACUCGAUGGGUAGGGGUAAAAUCCGUUGAUCCAUUGAAGACCACCAGUGGCGAAGGCGGCUUGCCGGAACGCGCUCGACGGUGAGGGAUGAAAGCUGGGGGAGCAAACCGG